rnacentral:snRNA from 1 species
AAUAUGAAAUCGAAUUGGAACGACAG